rnacentral:rRNA from 1 species
UACGAGGGGGGCGAGCGUUGUUCGGAAUUAUUGGGCGUAAAGGGCGCGUAGGCGGCUGUACAAGUCAAAGGUGAAAUCCCUCGGCUCAACUGAGGAACUGCCUUUGAAACUGUACGGCUUGAGGCCGGGAGGGGGUAGCGGAAUUCCCAGUGUAGCGGUGAAAUGCGUAGAUACUGGGAGGAACACCAGUGGCGAAGGCGGCUACCUGGACCGGUUCUGACGCUGAGGCGCGAAAGCGUGGGUAGCAAACAGG